rnacentral:rRNA from 1 species
GUGAGUAACACGUGGGCAAUCUGCCCUGCACUCUGGGACAAGCCCUGGAAACGGGGUCUAAUACCGGAUAUGACUGUCCAUCGCAUGGUGGAUGGUGUAAAGCUCCGGCGGUGCAGGAUGAGCCCGCGGCCUAUCAGCUUGUUGGUGAGGUAGUGGCUCACCAAGGCGACGACGGGUAGCCGGCCUGAGAGGGCGACCGGCCACACUGGGACUGAGACACGGCCCAGACUCCUACGGGAGGCAGCAGUGGGGAAUAUUGCACAAUGGGCGAAAGCCUGAUGCAGCGACGCCGCGUGAGGGAUGACGGCCUUCGGGUUGUAAACCUCUUUCAGCAGGGAAGAAGCGAAAGUGACGGUACCUGCAGAAGAAGCGCCGGCUAACUACGUGCCAGCAGCCGCGGUAAUACGUAGGGCGCAAGCGUUGUCCGGAAUUAUUGGGCGUAAAGAGCUCGUAGGCGGCUUGUCACGUCGGUUGUGAAAGCCCGGGGCUUAACCCCGGGUCUGCAGUCGAUACGGGCAGGCUAGAGUUCGGUAGGGGAGAUCGGAAUUCCUGGUGUAGCGGUGAAAUGCGCAGAUAUCAGGAGGAACACCGGUGGCGAAGGCGGAUCUCUGGGCCGAUACUGACGCUGAGGAGCGAAAGCGUGGGGAGCGAACAGGAUUAGAUACCCUGGUAGUCCACGCCGUAAACGGUGGGCACUAGGUGUGGGCAACAUUCCACGUUGUCCGUGCCGCAGCUAACGCAUUAAGUGCCCCGCCUGGGGGAGUACGGCCGCAAGGCUAAAACUCAAAGGAAUUGACGGGGGCCCGCACAAGCGGCGGAGCAUGUGGCUUAAUUCGACGCAACGCGAAGAACCUUACCAAGGCUUGACUACACCGGAAACGUCUGGAGACAGCGCCCCCUUGUGGUCGGUGGUACAGGUGGGGGCAUGGCUGUCUCACCUCUUGCGGGAAAGAGUUGGGGGUUAAUUCCCCCCACCAGCGCAACCCUUUGUCCGUGUUGCACAAGCCUUUGUGUGUGUUGGGGAAUCACCGGAGAACCACCGGGCAUUCUUAAAAAAGAGGGGGGAGAGACGGGCCCAAACUUUCUUGCCCCCUUAUUUUUUUGGUGUGCACCGCGUACAAAAGGCGGGGGGCAAGAGAUGCGAUACCCCCCCGGGGGGAGGGAAAAUCCAAAACAGCCCAACUCUUUUUUUUGUGUGUUGGGGUGGUCGCCCCCCCACCCCCAGGAGGCGCUGAUUAACUUAUACACAUUAUUUCGGUGAGAUAUAUUUUCUGGCGCGUGGGUACCCCCGCGUCUCCUCCC